GACAUUACUUCAUUAACAUUAUGAAGUUUUUCUUAUUCUUGUUUUCUUUGGCAGCCUUUCCAAAAUGGGUCUUCUCAGACGUUCAGCUUGUAUUGUCUGGGUCAGGAAUGGUGAGGCCAGGAGAGAACCUCAACCUGCUCUGUAAGGUCACAGGCUUCUCCAUCUCCACUCAGCAUUAUGUGUGGCACUGGGUCCGCCAAGCACCUGGGAAAGGGCUAGAAUGGACUGGAAGCACACACCCCUAUGACGGGGGAAAGUGGUAUGCCCCUUCUCUGAAGAAUCGUGCAAGAAUUUCAUCAGACAAAUCCAGGAACGAGGUCUCCCUCCAGCUGAACACCCUCACAGCUGCAGAUUCGGCCAUGUAUUUCUGUGUCCGAGAAUACCACAGUGAGAUAAGGUCUACUGGGGCUGUGUAUAAAAAAGGAGGAACUGCUUCUGAAUGCAGAAUCCCCGCUUGUAAUUGCUGAGUAAUAAAUAUGCUGUGUAA